rnacentral:rRNA from 1 species
AACGAACGCUGGCGGCGUGUUUAAGACAUGCAAGUCGCACGGGAUAAGACAUGUAGUAAUACUUGUUUUAUUUAGUGGCGCACGGAUGAGUAACACGUGAAUUACAUGCCCUAUAGUGGGGAAUAGCCCAGGGAAACUUGGAUUAAUACCCCAUGGUAUCGAAAGAUUAAAGGUGGCCGCAAGGCUGUCGCUAUAGGAUUGGUUCGCGCCCUAUCAGCUUGUUGGUGAGGUAACGGCUCACCAAGGCAAUAACGGGUACCUGGUCUGAGAGGGCGAUCAGGCACACUGGAACUGAGACACUGUCCAGACACCUACGGGUGGCAGCAGUCGAGAAUAAUUCACAAUGGGGGCAACCCUGAUGGUGCAACGCCGCGUGGAGGAUGACGGUCUUCGGAUUGUAAACUCCUGUCAUCUGGGAGAAAGACCUGACGGUAAAUAGCCGGCAGGGUUGAUAGUACCAGAAGAGGAAGGGACGGCUAACUUCGUGCCAGCAGCCGCCGUAA